rnacentral:tRNA from 1 species
UGGCUUGAUGGUAAAGCAUCUGUCUACAAUGCGGGAGACCCAGGUUCGAUCCCUGG